AUUGAACGCUGGCGGCAUGCUUUACACAUGCAAGUCGAACGGUAACAGGUUAAGCUGACGAGUGGCGAACGGGUGAGUAAUGCAUCGGAACGUGCCCGAUCGUGGGGGAUAACGCAGCGAAAGCUGCGCUAAUACCGCAUACGAUCUGAGGAUGAAAGCGGGGGACCGUAAGGCCUCGCGCGAUCGGAGCGGCCGAUGUCAGAUUAGGUAGUUGGUGGGGUAAAGGCCCACCAAGCCGACGAUCUGUAGCUGGUCUGAGAGGACGACCAGCCACACUGGGACUGAGACACGGCCCAGACUCCUACGGGAGGCAGCAGUGGGGAAUUUUGGACAAUGGGCGAAAGCCUGAUCCAGCAAUGCCGCGUGCAGGAAGAAGGCCUUCGGGUUGUAAACUGCUUUUGUACGGAGCGAAAAGGUCCUUUCUAAUACAAGGGGCUCAUGACGGUACCGUAAGAAUAAGCACCGGCUAACUACGUGCCAGCCGCCGCCGUAA
rnacentral:rRNA from 1 species